rnacentral:tRNA from 1 species
GUGAGUGUAGCUCAAAGGUUAGAGCACUGGACUGUGGAUCCAGUGGUUGGGGGUUCGAUUCCCCUCACUCACCCCA